rnacentral:rRNA from 1 species
UGGGGAAUAUUGCACAAUGGGGGAAACCCUGAUGCAGCGACGCCGCGUGAACGAAGAAGGUAUUCGUAUCGUAAAGUUCUGUCCUAUGGGAAGAUAAUGACAGUACCAUAGAAGAAAGCUCCGGCUAAAUACGUGCCAGCAGCCGCGGUAAUACGGAGGGCGCGAGCGUUGUCCGGAAUUAUUGGGCGUAAAGGGUACGCAGGCGGUUUAAUAAGUCGAAUGUUAAAGAUCGGGGCUCAACCCCGCAAAGCAUUGGAAACUGAUAAGCUUGAGUAGUGGAGAGGAAAGUGGAAUUGCUUGUGUAGUGGUGAAAUACGUAGAUAUUAGGUGGAAUACCAGUAGCGAAGGCGACUUUCUGGACACAAACUGACGCUGAGGUACGAAAGCGUGGGGAGCAAACAGG